AAUGAACGCUGGCGGCGCGCCUAAUACAUGCAAGUCGAGCGAGAAGACGUAGCAAUACGUUUGUAAAGCGGCGAACGGGUGAGGAAUACAUGGGUAACCUACCCUCGAGUGGGGAAGUAACUAGCCGAAAGGUUAAGCUAAUACCGCGUACGCUCCUUGGACUUCGGUUCAGGGAGGAAAGACGAUACCGUGGGUAUCGCGCUCUUGGUUGGGCUCAUGUCCUAUCAGCUUGUUGGUGAGGAACGGCUCACCAAGGCUUCGACGGGUAGCUGGUCUGAGAGGACGAUCAGCCACACUGGCACUGCGACACGGGCCAGACUCCUACGGGAGGCAGCAGUAAGGAAUAUUGCGCAAUGGGCGAAAGCCUGACGCAGCGACGCCGCGUGGGGGAGUGAAA
rnacentral:rRNA from 1 species